AAUAAUCUACAUAUACAUUUUUGGGGAAGAUUUGUGUCGAAAAAUCAUUUUUCAAUUUCGAUAUUGUAUGUUUAGUCCCUACAAAAUCAAUCAGACAAGAUUGUCUUCUUUAUGACAAUGACCAAAUUUUUGAUCAAUUAUUCACGUUUUGCACUAAUUACUUACCUAAACAAAAAUAUUAUUUUGCACUACCCUCAUAAAUUGCACACAUUAAUCCCUUGAAUCUCUACUAAUUCAAUAUUACACGAAAUAAUAUUCCCUAAAAAUCCGAACAACCAAAUAACUAACCAUAUCUUUACUUACUUCAUUUCAAAAUCUCUAAUCAGCAUUUUCACAACUCUUUA
rnacentral:sRNA from 1 species